GGUGUACACUCGUAAGCCCAUAAUGAUGUAAUAGGAGGUGGGGACAGGCAGAUUCUUGAAGCUCACUGGCCAGUUAGUCUAGCCUACCUGACAAAGUUCUAGGCCAAUGGCAGACCUGUCUCAAACAAGAUAUGGGAACUGUCUUGAGGAAUGACAUCUGAAAUUUUUUUCACCCUCCACACAUGUGUGCACAUGCACACACAUGAGCCUGCACAUAUACAUGCAUAUACACAAAAAAAAGAAAAGAAAAAGUCUAGGUAAGGUUAGGGUGGACAUGAGGGCUAUAGUGUGGGAAACCCUGUAGAACAUGCUAAUAAGAGUAGGGAAGGACAGUGGCUUCUGUCGAUGCUGUUGGGGACAGUUAGGACUGAAUUAUAUCCCUCCAAAUCUGUAUACUUGAGCCCCAGUCCCAAAUAGGCCUGUGCUUGUAAACUUCAAUUUUUGGAAGGGUCAUUAAAGUUAGAUGAGGGUUCUGUCUUCAUCCAACAGGACUGGUGCCUUGACAAGAAGAAGAGACACGAUGUGAGGCAGGCUGUCAGUGCCAGGCCACAGGAGGACACCCUCAGCCUGAGAAUGGUCACUGGCAAGUCAAGGAGAGACUGAGCCUGCUGAAUAUCUUGGUCUCAGACUUCCAGCCUCAGAACAGAGACAGACAGACGUCCUUCUAAGAAGAGGCGAGUUAACCAAGGACACACGGAGAAGAGGCGAGUUAACCAAGGACAUACGGAGGAACACCAGGUACGCCCACGGCCACACGGAGGCGCUAGCGUCCGAUACUCAUUUACCUCCCAGUGCAGAACCUAAGGAACAAAGAGUCCCCACACUCAGUCUGAGAUCCGAAGUCUCCUGCGCCUGAGCCACCUGCUUCCUGGGUCCCCGAGUAUCAGCUCAGAGAAGAAGUUAACUUUUGCACAGCGCUGUUCUUAGAAAUCUGUGAAAGAGAUCUCCCCCUCCUUGGGGGCCGGAACAAAAUACAAGCACUCUGGGGCCCUAAAAGGGUUACGGGGUUUGUGGUUCCCUUCUGCAUUCCCUUCUCAGAGUUCAGCGGGAUCCUGGCAGCAACUGUUUCCUCCCUUUUGGUUUAUUAAGGCAACUUCUUUACACAGUUGGACAAAAUAGACACACACCCUCGAGAAAUAGCAUAACGAAAAUGCAGAAAUCGGCAGAAAAGGAAGCUCGCACCGUGGAAACUGGGUCACCGCAAACAAGCUAAGUCAGUCUUGCCCUAAAAUGGCGUUUUAUCCCUAAUUUCCAGGUAGACCUCACUGUGUGUUAAACCUCAUCGAGAAUAUGCUUUCCCGGGCACACUGCGAAGAGACAGGAAGAGGCUAUGCUGUGUUUCAGUCACCAUCAGUCAGCGAGAAUCUAUGCAGGCACGUUAGCUACAAGCACAGUUCACCAAACUGCUCUCGCAUGCCAGGCAGGCCCGAGUCCUGGGAACUCAGAGAGGUAGAGACUGUGUCUUUCCUGGAAGCCUAGCACUCCCCACCCAGCUCCUGUCUCCAGGACCACUGUACAUGUCGAGUCUCUGCUAGGCUUGCCCCAGGACCAGGUACUCACAGCUGUGAAUUUCCAAGGAUUGGAGGGAACAGUGUGGGGAGUUGGAGGCCCAGAGAAAGUCUCUUUGAGAGCAAAGACUGACUCAAGGGGGUCUCAGGAUGAGAAGGUAAUGCAGGACACAAGUUCAUGGGUCAACAGUAAACAUUGUAUUUGCUGAACAAGACCUCCACAGUAUUUCUACCAUGCUGUUUCCAUGCUAAGCAGCAAAGUGCCUUCUCUUAAGUCAGUGGUUCUCAACCUGUGGGCCUUGACCCCCCCUUGGAGGUCAAGCAAUCCUUUCACA